CGUUCUCGGGUCUUGUACACACCGCCCGUCAAGUGAGCCGAGUCGGGGGUAGCUGAAGCGGCUAGAUAACUAGUUUCGAGGCUAAAUCCGGCAAGGAGCGCU
rnacentral:rRNA from 1 species